GAUGAAGAACGUAGCGAAAUGCGAUAAGUAUUGUGAAUUGCAGAAUCCAGUGAAUCAUCGAGUCUUUGAACGCACAUUGCGCCCCCUGGUAUUCCGGGGGGCAUGCCUGUCCGAGCGUCAUUGCCGCCCUCAAGCACGGCUUGUGUGUUGGGCCCCCGCCCCCCGGCUUCGGGGGGCGGGCCCGAAAGGCAGCGGCGGCACCGCGUCCGGUCCUCGAGCGUAUGGGGCUUCGUCACCCGCUCUGUAGGCCCGGCCGGCGCCCGCCGGCGACCCCAAUCAAUCUUUCCAGGUUGACCUCGGAUCAGGUAGGGAUACCCGCUGAACUUAAGCAUAUCAAUAAGCGGAGGA
rnacentral:misc_RNA from 1 species